CCUACGGGUGGCAGCAGUGGGGAAUAUUGCGCAAUGGGCGAAAGCCUGACGCAGCGACGCCGCGUGAGGUAUUCAUGUCUUCUGAUCGUACACCUCUGUCAGCAGGGAAGAACGGUCACUGUGCUAAUCAGCAGUGAAUUGACGGUACCUGCAAAGGAAGCACCGGCUAACUCCGUGCCAGCAGCCGCGGUAAUACGGAGGGUGCGAGCGUUAAUCGGAAUUACUGGGCGUAAAGCGCUCGUAGGCGGUAUGUCAAGUCAAGGGUGAAAUCCCCGCGCUCAACGUGGGAACUGCCUUUGAAACGGGCAAACUGGAGUGUGUGAGAGGAUAGUGGAAUUCCAGGUGUAGGAGUGAAAUCCGUAGAUAUCUGGAGGAACAUCAGUGGCGAAGGCGACUAUCUGGCACAUAACUGACGCUGAGGAGCGAAAGCGUGGGUAGCAAACAGGAUUAGAUACCCUAGUAGUC
rnacentral:rRNA from 1 species